rnacentral:snRNA from 1 species
AUUGAUACCCGAUAGGAGAGAUACUGUGAUCAUUGAGGCGGUAUUCUCAGGGCGAGGCCUACCCAUUGCACUUCAGGGGGAAGGUUGAGCCUUGCGAUUUUUCCCCAAAUAUGGCAAAGUCGACCGUGAAAUUUGUAGAAUGCAGGAGACGAUUGACCUGCU